CUCCGUCUGCAGCCGCCCCCGCUGCGUGCUGGCGUCCGCCAGCUGUCGCUGCAGCUCCUCGGCCUUGUUCUUGGCCUCGCUCAGCUGAUCCUCGUAGGUCCGGCACAGCUUUUCUGCACUGGCCUGGAAGCCGGGGUCAGCUUCUGCCGGAUGCGCUGCAGGCUGUCCACCUGCUCGCCCAGCUCCGCCGCGCUCUCCGCCUGCUUGCGGCGCAGGGCGGCCACGGUGGCCUCGUGCCUCAGGACGGCCUCCUCCAGCUCCCGCCGCAGGCGGCCCAGCUCGGCCUCGCGCUUGCGGCAGCCCUCCCGCUGGCCGGCCGACGCGCCGCCCGCCUCCUCCAGCCUCUCGCUCAGCUCCUCCAGCUCGCGCGCGGCCUCCGCCCGCUGCUUCUCCACGCGGGCCCGGGCCGCUCGCUCCGCCUCCAGCUCCUCCUCCAGCUCCUCCGCCCGAGCCUGGGCACACGGCACCGACGCCCUGAGCCGCAGAGCCAGGCCUGCUGGCCCAGCGCGGCCCCCGCGGCCCCCGGCCUCACCUGUAGCUCCUUGAUCUUCUUCUGCAGCUGGACGCCCAGGAGCUGCUCGUCCUCCACCCGCAGGCUCAGCUGGCUCAGCUCGGAAUCCUUCCUGGAGUGCCGGGCGGGAGGAGCCAGCGGUGGCCCUACCUGCCGCCCACCCGCCCGCCUCCCUCCGGGAGGAACUACGGGCCCCAGCGCUGCAUGUCUGCCGUCCUCAGCCCUGGCCCAGCGAGGGCAGGACCUGACCCCUGCCCCAGCGUCUUCCCCAACGGGGCCGCGAGGACUCAGAAGGGCAGAGAGCCCAUCUUAGACCCCACACCUACUUCUUCAACUUCUCCUCCAGCUGCUGCUUGUCCUGGGCCGUGUCCGUCACCAUCUCCUGGGUCAGCUUCAGGUCUCCCUCGAGUUUGCGCUUGGCGCGUUCCGUGUCCAUGCGCAGCUUCUUCUCUUGCUCCAGGGAGCACUCCAGCUGUGGGGCAGAGGGCGCUCAGCCUCAGCGUCAGUGUCACCACCCUGGCAGUCCCCCAGGGCACCCAACUCACGUCCUCCACUUGCUGCUCCAGCCGGAUCUUGGCCUUGGCCAGCGCGCUCACGCGGUCCUCCUCAGCCUGCAGGUCGCCCAGAGCCUGCUGGUGAGCCUCCUGCAAUGCCUUCUUCUCCUUGGUCAGGCGGACCACGGACUCAUCCAAGGCAGCCAUCUCCUCCGUCAGGUUCUUCACCUGUGCCAAGGCCCGGUUCACGGUGGGGCCGACCCUCCCCACAGGCGGUCUGAGCAGCCACCCCCUCCAGCUCAGGAGACUGAGCCUCCACCGUCCCGCCUAAGGGGUUUAUCUCCUCCUCGCGAUGUGAAGGAGUCAUGGGUGAAGCUUCACAGCCGGGCAUAGUGCCUGGCCCGGAGGAGGAGACCAGUGGGUGGCACCAUUUACAGUAUCAACACGGGGUCCAUGAGCCGUGUCCUAGCGCCCCCUGCGGCAAGCUUGCAGUCAGGACAGGUGGUAAUUGCUUUACUAAGCACCUACUGUGUAUACUUGUAGUGUAUGCUUAGCAAAGGCCAGUUACACCCAAAUCCUCAGUCACCCUAAUGAGAAGUGCUGGUGCCCCCACCUGACAGAGGCGAAAACUGAGGCUCUCAAGAGGCAGUGACCUGCCUCACGCUACAGAACAGGGGCCCAGGAGAGCCGGAAGGGGCCCUUGUUGCCACCCAACACCAAAACUGGUCCCCAGCUCAGGCCCUUCCCACACCUUGUUCUCAGUGGCUUGUUUCUCCUUCUCGGCCUUGGCCAGUGUCAGCUCCAGGUCAUCUAUGUCCUUCUUGAGCUCCGUGCAUUCGUCCUCCAGCUUGCGCCUGCGCGCGGCCAGGUCAGCGUUCACUUCCUCCUCAUCUUCCAGCCGCUCAUUCAGCUCCUUCACCUUCGCCUCAAGCUGCACCUUGGAUUUGAUCAGCAAGUGGCAGCGCUCUUCCGCGUCCGCUAGGUUGUCCUGCUCCUGAGGACAUGGGGGGUGGGCGGUUCAGGGAGAGCCAGCGUCUGAAGGCUCAGCCCUGGGAAAGAAAGGCCCUUUGUCCGUGCAAAGUCAACUCCAGGGCAGCAGUUAAGAGCACUGGCUGCUCUUCCAGAGGUCCUGAGUUCAAUUCCCAGCAACCACAUGGUGGCUCACGACCAUCAGUAGUGAGAUCUGCCCUCUGCUGGUGUAUAUUCACCUACAUUAAAUAAUGAGUCUUUUAAGAAACAAAAAAAUAAAGUCAACUCCAGUGAGGCUCAUAUUGGCAGUUCAAUUUGAUAGACGAGGAGUCCAAGCACCUACACUCUACUGGGCUCCGGGACUACUGCAGGGGCCUCUGCCGGGCCUGCCUCAUAACCCCAAUAUUAAAAGGAGCAUUUUACAGCUGUCAUGGCCGUAGAUUCCCCAGGCCUCAGCCUGAGGCCAGCAUCCAAGUGACAUUCAAAACCUAUGCUGGGGAGUUUCCAGAGUUUGACCCCUGUCCUCUGGGUAUCACCCUGUUACCUGCCUCAGGGUCCCGUGUCCCUGAACCAGAGAAGGGAGCAAGGGUAUAGUUCAGGGAGAUCAAGGCUGGGGGCGCUGGGGCUCCCCAGCAGCUUUAGGACAUGUGGACGCUCAAGGCCUUCGGGGAAGGCUGGGUAGACACUGAGCCUCCAAGGCCUCAUCUCCUGGUCCUUCCAGAGUAGAAGGACAACACAGAAGGCCCAAGUGCCCAGAGGCCUCCCCGCCCCCAGCUGUGCUGGCCACAACCUGCCCAGCCCUUGUCCCACUCACUGCCUGCAACUGCAGGGCCAGGUCGUUCUUCUCCUGAGUGACGCUGACGUGAGUCUCCUCCAGCUCCUGCCGCUUGGCCUCAGCAGCAGCCAGAGCCCCCCGAAGCCCCCGCAGCUCUGCCCGCAGCGCGGCCAGCUCCUCUUCCGCCUGUGCUGAGCGCAGCAGCGGCUUCAUCUUGAAGAAGAGCUUCAUCCAAGACCAGUUCUUGACGGCAUUGAAGGCCCGGAUGUUCCACUGGAUGACAAGGUCUCUCUCCAUAGCCCUGGCUGCACUGUUACUAGAGCCAGGCUGGCUCCGAACUCACAGAGAUCUGCCUGCCCUACUUCUUGAUCGCUGGGAUGAAAGCGCAUGCCACCAGGCCCAGCCCUUUUCAUUUGGGCCUGCCAAAGCUCCUCCUCCUCCGUGAAGACCUCCCUGAUGGCUGAGACUGUGGAUUCUUCUUUCAACUCCACUUCCUACCCUAACCUCGCUGGUGGCACUUUCACAAACGUCUCCGUACUACGGUAGCUGUGUCUUCAGCAUGGUGUGUGGACUAUACCCAGCACAGCCCUGAUGGCCACAUAUGUCAGAGCAGGGAGCUGAUCUGCGCAGGGACACACAGCAAGUCCACGUCCUGGGGGUCACCUCAAGCAUCCUUCCCUCCGUGUUUCCAUUUGUUCCCCAUCCCACCCCACCCCUACCCAAAUGCCAAGCUCCUAGGAAGGGGAGAAGGAAAAGAAUGGGUGCCGGGAUGGCUAACAUGCCAGUGGGGACCUUGUGGCCAUUCGUUCAUUUAUUGACCUGAGACACAUUCUGGGAAGAGACAGGAAGGGGCCUGCCCUCCCUGUAUAACUCACACCCACUGCUUUUGUUCAAGAUGCUCUCUGGUCAUAUUUGAGCUCAGGGGAGGGAGGCAGUGCAGCUUUUAAGUCCCCAAAUCUUGUGGGUGACCUUUGGCUGACCCCUCUGUCCUGACUCAGGCUCCGAGCCCCUUCCUAUGCAGGUACUCCCCUGUCCCAGCCCUUCCAGUUGUGUUCAUGUCAGCUUUGGGCCGUGUCAUUUUUUCCCGUUAUAGGGUCACCCCAUUUUUCUGCGGUCUCCUCAAAGGCCUUUUAGGGUUUGGAGAACAUGGUGGGGGAGGAAGGGAAGAAAGAAUAUCAAAAAGUCAACAGCAAAAACAAAACAACAAUGGCUGCAACCAAAAACCAAAACAAACAAAAUCCCAAAACCAAAACAAUCAAAUGAGGAAAGGGAGAAGGGAGGGAACAAAAGGAAGGAAAAAAAAAGGAGAAAGAAAACAUAGCAAGAAUUUUAAAAGAAGAAAAAAGAAAGAAAGAAAAGAAAGAGAAAUUCGCCCCAGAAUAAAGCAAGGCUCAACAGGACCAGGAGUGCGGGUUGUGCGGAGGACACCUGGGCUGCAGAAAGGACCGGUCAUAUCAGUCAAGAUGUGUGGAGCCAGGGGAAGCCACAGAAACCUUGACAGCUGGCCUGUGGGCCAGGGACAGGCUAGUAGUUCACAUUAAAAACAACAAAAAAUCCUAUGCCUCCAGUGUUUAAGAAGUUUCAAAAAGAUCGUAAUCAAAACCACAGGCUGUGCUACCGUCAAGAAUUCCCAGAGUCCUCCGCUCUGGGUAAUCACCCUCUGU